GGGCAGAUGUGAGAGUGGUUGAUUCAGCAGACCUGGAAAGUCUGUAAGCGGUGAUGAGCUGCUUCGAGGGUUCGAAUCCCUCUCUGCCCG
rnacentral:tRNA from 1 species